rnacentral:rRNA from 1 species
GACGAACGCUGGCGGCGUGCCUAAUACAUGCAAGUAGAACGCUGAAGGAGGAGCUUGCUCUUCUGGAUGAGUUGCGAACGGGUGAGUAACGCGUAGGUAACCUGCCUGGUAGCGGGGAUAACUAUUGGAAACGAUAGCUAAUACCGCAUAAGAGUAGAUGUUGCAUGACAUUUGCUUAAAAGGUGCAAUUGCAUCACUACCAGAUGGACCUGCGUUGUAUUAGCUAGUUGGUGGGGUAACGGCUCACCAAGGCGACGAUACAUAGCCGACCUGAGAGGGUGAUCGGCCACACUGGGACUGAGACACGGCCCAGACUCCUACGGGAGGCAGCAGUAGGGAAUCUUCGGCAAUGGACGGAAGUCUGACCGAGCAACGCCGCGUGAGUGAAGAAGGUUUUCGGAUCGUAAAGCUCGGUUGUAAGAGAAGAACGAGUGUGAGAGUGGAAAGUUCACACUGUGACGGUAUCUUACCAGAAAGGGACGGCUAACUACGUG